GACGAACGCUGGCGGCGUGCCUAAUACAUGCGAGUUGAGCGAUGAAGUUUGGUGCUUGCGCCCAUUUGAAGAGCAGCGAACGGGUGAGUAACGCGUGGGGAAUCUGCCUUUGAGCGGGGGACAACAUUUGGAAACGAAUGCUAAUACCGCAUAACAACUUUAAACAUAAGUUUUAAGUUUGAAAUAUGCAAUUGCAUCACUCAAAGAUGAUCCCGCGUUGUAUUAGCUAGUUGGUGAGGUAAAGGCUCACCAAGGCGAGGAUACAUAGCCGACCUGAGAGGGUGCGCGGCAUCGCUGGGCUGGAGACACGGCCAACACCACUACGGGAGGGAGCCGGCGGGGACUCUUGGGAAAGGAAGCAAGGCUGAACGAGGAACGCCGCGUGAGUGAAGAAGGCUGCCGGAUCGCAAAAGUCAGUUGGUAGAGAAGAUCGUUGGUGAGAGUGGAAAGCUAAUAAAGUGACGGUAACGACAGAGAAAGGGACGGCUAACUACGUG
rnacentral:rRNA from 1 species